GACAAAAGGACACAUAGGAGAAGAUAUUAAAAUUAUCAAAUGGGAAUAGUAUACUUCUGACAAGAAACAAAAUGUCCUGGAAGUCAAGCCAGUACAUCAGAGGAAGGAGGUGUAGCUCGAUAAGACGGUCUUUAUAAGAUGGCGAUGAGUACGGGGACUCCAUAAUUGACAACAGUAAGAGAGCUUUGAUCUAACAUGGGUCAAGUAAAGGCUCCUCUUAAGGGAGACAUCUGUAGAAGAAGUAAGAGUUCACUUAAUUAGAUGGAGAGAAGUGUAUGCACUCUUACAGAUCUUGGAGUAAUGAGAUGACCAUGACAAGUCAGAUGAGUAAAAAGUAAUGAUAUAUAAUAAUAAAUCUGUUACAGCUCCAAUGAAUGAGGAGAGGGAAAGUGGUGUUUAAAAAUAAAAAAUACAUGACACAGUGGUGCAUGCAUACAAAAAAUGCAUUUCAGUCUCUUCAAGCAAUUUUCUUAUUUCUUUUCUAUAGAAAGACAAAAACAGCUAGGCACAUACUAAUUAUAUGUUGAGUACAUGAACCUUUCAAAAGAAUCCAGGAUAUACAUUUAUUAAUAAUAAUAUAAGUUGUAGCUUGCAACUGCAAGAACUUUAUAAUAGCAACUAACAAUAAGAGACCACUACAUACAAAUGACAGAAA